rnacentral:rRNA from 1 species
AGUGAACGCUGGCGGUAGGCCUAACACAUGCAAGUCGAACGGCAGCACAGUAAGAGCUUGCUCUUACGGGUGGCGAGUGGCGGACGGGUGAGGAAUACAUCGGAAUCUACUUUUUCGUGGGGGAUAACGUAGGGAAACUUACGCUAAUACCGCAUACGACCUACGGGUGAAAGCAGUGGAUCUUCGGACCUUGCGCGAUUGAUUGAGCCGAUGUCGGAUUAGCUAGUUGGCGGGGUAAAGGCCCACCAAGGCGACGAUCCGUAGCUGGUCUGAGGGGAUGAUCAGCCACACUGGAACUGAGACACGGUCCAGACUCCUACGGGAGGCAGCAGUGGGGAAUAUUGGACAAUGGGCGCAAGCCUGAUCCAGCCAUACCGCGUGGGUGAAGAAGGCCUUCGGGUUGUAAAGCCCUUUUGUUGGGAAAGAAAAGCAGCAGGUUAAUACCCCGCUGUUCUGACGGUACCCAAAGAAUAAGCACCGGCUAACUUCGUG